UGGGGAAUUUUGCACAAUGGGGGAAACCCUGAUGCAGCGACGCCGCGUGAUUUAGAAGGCCUUCGGGUUGUAAAAAUCUAUUCUAUGGGAAGAAAAUGACAGUACCAUAGGAAUAAGGACCGGCUACUUACGUGCCAGCAGCCGCGGUAAUACGUAAGGUCCGAGCGUUGUCCGGAAUCAUUGGGCGUAAAGGGUACGUAGGCGGGUAAGCAAGUUAGAAGUGAAAUCCUAUAGCUCAACUAUAGUAAGCUUUUAAAACUGCUCAUCUUGAGGUAUGGAAGGGAAGGAGGAAUUCCUAGUGUAGCGGUGAAAUGCGCAGAUAUUAGGAGGAAUACCGGUGGCGAAGGCGACUUUCUGGCCAUAACCUGACGCUGAGGUACGAAAGCGUGGGUAGCAAACAGG
rnacentral:rRNA from 1 species